GACGCACACUGGCGGCAGGCCUAACACAUGCAAGUCGAACGCAUCCUUCGGGGUGAGUGGCGCACGGGUGAGUAACACGUGGGAAUGUACCCUUUGGUUCGGAAUAACGUCUGGAAACGGACGCUAAUACCGGAUGAGCCCUGCGGGGGAAAGAUUUAUCGCCAAAGGAGCAGCCCGCGUCUGAUUAGCUAGUUGGUGGGGUAAAGGCCUACCAAGGCGACGAUCAGUAGCUGGUCUGAGAGGAUGAUCAGCCACACUGGGACUGAGACACGGCCCAGACUCCUACGGGAGGCAGCAGUGGGGAAUAUUGGACAAUGGGCGGAAGCCUGAUCCAGCCAUGCCGCGUGAGUGAUGAAGGCCUUCGGGUCGUAAAGCUCUGUCGCAGGGGAAUAACACAAUGAAUGUACCCUGUAAGAAAGGAUCGGCUAACUUCGUGCCAGCAGCCGCGGUAACAC
rnacentral:rRNA from 1 species